UUGAACGCUGGCGGCAUGCUUUACACAUGCAAGUCGAGCGGCAGCGCGGGGGCAACCCUGGCGGCGAGCGGCGAACGGGUGAGUAAUACAUCGGAACGUGUCCCGUAGUAGGGGAUAGCUCGGCGAAAGCCGGAUUAAUACCGCAUACGAUCUACAGAUGAAAGCGGGGGACCGCAAGGCCUCGCGCUAUGGGGGCGGCCGAUGUCCGAUUAGCUAGUUGGUGGGGUAAAGGCCUACCAAGGCGACGAUCGGUAGCUGGUCUGAGAGGAUGAUCAGCCACACUGGGACUGAGACGCGGCCCAGACUCCUACGGGAGGCAGCAGUGGGGAAUUUUGGACAAUGGGGGAAACCCUGAUCCAGCCAUGCCGCGUGAGUGAAGAAGGCCUUCGGGUUGUAAAGCUCUUUUGGCCGGAAAGAAAAGGCUACGGAUAACACCCGUGGUCCUUGACGGUACCGGCAGAAUAAGCACCGGCUAACUACGUGCCAGCAGCCGCGGUAAUACGUAGGGUGCGAGCGUUAAUCGGAAUUACUGGGCGUAAAGCGUGCGUAGGCGGUCCCGCAAGUCCGCUGUGAAAGCCCCGAGCUCAACUUGGGAACUGCAGUGGAAACUAUGGGACUUGAAUCCGGCAGAGGGGGGUGGAAUGCCACGUGUAGCAGUGAAAUGCGUAGAGAUGUGGCGGAACACCGAUGGCGAAGGCAGCCCCCUGGGCUGAGAUUGACGCUCAGGCACGAAAGCGUGGGGAGCAAACAGGAUUAGAUACCCUGGUAGUCCACGCCCUAAACGAUGACAACUAGGUGUUGGGGAAGCGAUUUCUCAGUACCGCGGCUAACGCGUGAAGUUGUCCGCCUGGGGAGUACGGUCGCAAGAUUAAACUCAAAGGAAUUGACGGGGACCCGCACAAGCGGUGGAUGAUGUGGAUUAAUUCGAUGCAACGCGAAGAACCUUACCUACCCUUGACAUGUACGGAAGCCCGCUGAGAGGCGGGUGUGCCCGAAAGGGAGCCGUAACACAGGUGCUGCAUGGCUGUCGUCAGCUCGUGUCGUGAGAUGUUGGGUUAAGUCCCGCAACGAGCGCAACCCUUGUCCCUAGUUGCUACGCAAGGGCACUCUAGGGAGACUGCCGGUGACAAACCGGAGGAAGGUGGGGAUGACGUCAAGUCCUCAUGGCCCUUAUGGGUAGGGCCUCACACGUCAUACAAUGGCCGGUACAGAGGGUUGCCAAGCCGCGAGGUGGAGCCAAUCCCAGAAAGCCGGUCGUAGUCCGGAUUGCAGUCUGCAACUCGACUGCAUGAAGUCGGAAUCGCUAGUAAUCGCGGAUCAGCAUGUCGCGGUGAAUACGUUCCCGGGUCUUGUACACACCGCCCGUCACACCAUGGGAGUGGGGUGCACCAGAAGUAGGUAGGCUAACCGCAAGGAGGCCGCUUACCACGGUACGCUUCAUGACUGGGGUG
rnacentral:rRNA from 1 species